rnacentral:rRNA from 1 species
GACGAACGCUGGCGGCGUGCUUAACACAUGCAAGUCGAACGGAAAGGCCCUGCUUUUGUGGGGUGCUCGAGUGGCGAACGGGUAAGUAACACGUGAGUAACCUGCCCUUGACUUUGGGAUAACUUCAGGAAACUGGGGCUAAUACCGGAUAGGAGCUCCUGCUGCAUGGUGGGGGUUGGAAAGUUUCGGCGGUUGGGGAUGGACUCGCGGCUUAUCAGCUUGUUGGUGGGGUAGUUGCUUACCAAGGCUUUGACGGGUAGCCGGCCUGAGAGGGUGACCGGCCACAUUGGGACUUGGAUUCGGCCCAGACUCCUACGGGGGGCAGCAGGGGGGAAUAUUGGACAAUGGGCGGAAGCCUGAUGCAGCAACGCCGCGGGCGGGAAGACGGCCUUCGGGUUGUAAACCGCUUUCAGCAUGGGCGAAGCUUGUGGUGACGGUACCUGCAGAAGAAGCACCGGCUAACUACGUG